UUUUUUUUUUUCAAUCUACAUAGAAUAUGUGAACAGUUUCCCUUUGAUGCUUUAAAAAUAAACUGGAUAUAACCAGUGAUACUGACAGCCUUUGCUAUUAAUUUGAGGCUUCUACUCAGUUUUGCAAUCACCACUUUUGAAUAGAAAAAGGAUUAUCAAUCAUCUCACUCUCUGCAUUUCAUGUGCUAGGAAAAUGCUAUUGUGUUCAAAUUACCAUUCCUGUAGGAAAAUAUUUAGGACCCUUCUGGUUUGUCUCCCACUCUGAAAAAAAUUGACAUCUGUUUUGCUGCAAUUAAGGAGAAAUGCAAACACAUACACAAGUAAUAAAAGCUCGAAACUACAUUUUGUCACUGCUAUUUGACAGCUGUUACAGUAACCUUUGAAAUAAAUCCUCUGCUGAAAAAUACGAUUUUUCAGAAGCCGACCAGAGUCUUGAAGGUGAGGUUGAUGCAGAAUGCAGAAAUUGGACUGGGUCCUAAAUUCUCAAAAUAUUGAGAGAUUACAAUUUCCUGAACAAGUAUUUCUUAAAAAUGGUGAGAAACACCAAAUUCAUCUGCUUUCCUAAGUACGGAGUCUCAAAACCUUUACACUGCUGAAGGCUUGACACAGGACUUAACUCAUUCUGGAAGCUGAUGCUACAGAGGUCUCCAUGAAGUCUCCAUCCCUCUCGUACCACUUUCCCUGUUUGCACAGGACUGGCCACAGUGAGAUGUUGCUUUGCUUCUUUCUUAAGGACAUAUCUAGAAAGUGGUAACAAAAGUUGAAACUCAUUCGGCAUAAUUUUUAAUCAAAUUUGGUUUUGCAGCUGUGGAAAAAAAGAGAACAUUUUUGGUCGGUUUUUGUUUUGUUUUGUAUUUGUUUGUUUUUUAAUUGAUAUUGAAAAAUAAGAUUGCACAUUUCCCCCCAAAUUGAAAAAUUUCAAAUUAAAUGUAUGGAUGACUUGGUUGGACUCCAGGAGAUUGUAGCUCUUGAAUACAGGACUACAAGGUCGCAGAAAAGACCUAAUGUAGUUGGAAAGUCAUCAGAGAAGGUAGGAUGAAGGCCACUCAGUGCAUGCACUGUUUUGCUUUGGACUGCUGGGUUCUUUGCUAUGAAACAUGUUUUUGGUGAACUUAAUUCUCCAGUCAGUGCAGGCUGACCCAAGCCUUGCCAGUGACCUGAACAAGAGCAAGAUGGGAAAGGAAUGGUAUACUAACAUCAGGAGGGUCUACGGCGGCUGGAGGUAGGAAGGGGGUUUGCAAGUCACAGGGAAGAAAACACAAAGAGAGGGAAUAGGGAUGAAAUGAGAUAAGUAGAAAGCAAGGCAAAGAGGAAAGAACAAAAUGAGAGAUGGGGAAAGUAACAAAUAAGUUGGUGAAAAGGGGAAGCCUAGGAAAAGCUUUAUAAUUGGGCAAAAGCAUGUAGUCAUUUAUCCCCAGAAGACUUCCGAGUUUCAGCAACUUACAGAUCAAAGACUUCCCAAGUCAGCAGAUGUGUUGUAUUUUAUAGCCAUUUUUUUUUUCCUGAAUUUGUCUAUUCUGUCCUUAAAAACUUUAGGCAUCUGUGAGAUUUUGUAGCCAAGUCCCAUAAUUUAACUUUAUGCCAUGACACUACCUACUUCUCUUUAUUGUUUUGAACCUGUUACCAGUUGGUUUAUCUGGAACCCCUACAUUUUAUGUUGAAGAAAUAGCAAAGCAAGCAGUUCCUGUCCAACUUCUUCAGUAACUUAAGAUUCUGUAGAUCUUUAGCUAACUUUUUUAAGUGGGCCAUCACCUGUACACAGAGUUGAAGAUGGAGGCACAGCACGAAUAUUAACAGUGACAUAAUUAUGUUUUCUUUCUCUGUCCUACCAAUUGCUGGCAAAGUCCCCCAGGUAGGAUCAUGAGAUUCAGCAGUGGCUGUUGUUAACAAAGAUCACCACUCUUAUGUUGUAAUGGAGUAUCUGUCCCAGGCCUUGCUGACACAAUGGUCACUGAUAGCUAUCUACUGCUCAGAAUGCUUUUUAGCCUUGUUAUGGCUUGGAAUUGGGAAUCUAGCAAUAGGACUGUCAAUUCAGCCAUAUCAACUUCUUAGUGACAUGUAUGUAGACAGAUGUUAGAAAGAGGAGGGCAGCCUUAGGACUUGAGGACUUUCAGAAAUGUUUUCAAAGAUGGUCUUGAUUUGCUAGCUACAUCUGUAUUUGUCUAUGGAUAACCUCCGAGUCCAGGACCCAAAAGUAGGUUUAAUGGGUUCAUUUCAUACAUUUGAAGUUUGGGAAAGGACCAGUACAAUCUCACUGCACACACACGAGUUGAUCCCAAAAUAACUAUGACCUGCCAAUGCAAUCACAAAAACAAGGCACUGAGAGGUCUUGGGAGCAAUGUUCCUAGCAGAGUUUGGAAGGGAUUAAUAAAAUUGUCCUUGGUGCUGGCAAGAUACCCUCCAGAACACUGCAUGCCAUUCUGGUCAUCUUUGUUGAAGAGAAAUAAAUAAUAAUGAAACUGGAGCAGAAAAUAAUUGCUGAGAUGAGGGAGAGAGCAAAGUUAGGGGAGCUCAUCUAGCUUAGCAUAGUCAAACAACUGCUAAGGGGGACAUUUUUGCCUGUAAGCGCACAAAAAGUAAAAAGGGUAAAUGCUAUGGAGUGGGAGCUAUUUAAGGCCAAUGCUGGCACAAGGAUAAAUGGAUACAAACCAGUCAUAAAUAUAUAUUUAGCAAGAAAAUCAGAAGAAGGUUCUGGGAACAGCUUCCCAGUGGGAAUAAUGGUGGCAAAAGAUCUUAAGAUGAAACUUGAUACAUUUAUGAAAGGAAUUAUAUAAUACAGCAUUUGCAAAGGCCGAAUGGCUGCAGCAACCCAGGAAAUCCCUCCACCUUAUGCUCCAGUUUAUUUUGAGCCCUUAAAGGCAAAGAGUAGCAUUUCACCCUCCCAUUCCUCUUCCUGCUCCAGCUAUCUGCAGCCGGUCUUCAGCACCUCUCUUAAAAACUGUUUAAAGAUUGAACAAGACACCGAAUUUAUCUUGCACUUCUGAAUUCUGUUUUGCUGUUCCUCAAAAAGGAAAAGGAAAGUUUAGUAAAGCAUUGCCUAAUUUAUAUAUGCAUAAAUUUGUAUUUAAUAAAUCUUCUCAUACAUGUAAAGAACUAUGCUUCACCCAAAUUUUCCUACUUCCAGACUUGCUUAUUAACCAACUUGCCACAGCAUCCAACCAAUUCGCAAGCAAGUGGUAUUUUUCUCCAGGUCGCCCUGCUCAAAUGUAUUUGAUAGCCAUUCUCUAGGUAAUGCAAUUACUAACCAAACCAUGAGAGAUAUCCCACUUGUAUUCCUGCAAGGGACGUCUUCAUUGUGGUCCAAUGGGUCUAGCAAGAUAAAAAGUCUCUUCAGCGAGGUGUCUUUCCCUGCCAGCCUCAAAAACAUUUGAGGUGGAUUUAUGAAUUAAAGCCAGGAUCUGUCCUUUAGGGAGACACCUGCCUGGUUACAUCAUCUAAUUUUCACGGAGAGAAAGAAAAAAGGGAUGCAUGGGUUCUCCUUUUCCCGUCAGGAUGGUCCUUUCCGUGAUGUAUCUUUUCUAGUAGUAUAGGAAAUGGUUUCAUUUAGCUUCUGGUUUUGUUCCUUGCAGAUUUUUGGAGGUGCCCAGCACCCCUCCAUAUAACAAACAAAUGCCUUCUCACUCCCUUAAAAGAGGCUUUUUUCAAAGGUAUGUUAUCUUUGAUCUCACAUUACUUGCUGUCCAAUAUGAAAAUGACAUGAAGAUUUUUCAUUAAUAUUUUUUUGAGGAAGGCCAAUUUACAAAUGUAUUUGCCUAGCAACCCUUCAAAUGCAAUGUUUGGCUAGCUCUUUCCUGAUCCCUUAGCAGUUGGGGCACAUGCUAAUCUUUGGC
rnacentral:lncRNA from 1 species